rnacentral:rRNA from 1 species
GAACGCUGGCGGCGUGCCUAAUACAUGCCGUCGAGCGGACCCUUCGGGGUUAGCGGCGGACGGGUGAGUAACACGUAGGCAACCUGCCUGUAAGACUGGGAUAACUACCGGAAACGGUAGCUAAGACCGGAUAAGUGAUUCUUUCGCAUGAGAGGAUCAAGAAACACGGGGCAACCUGUGACUUACAGAUGGGCCUGCGGCGCAUUAGCUAGUUGGUGGGGUAACGGCUCACCAAGGCGACGAUGCGUAGCCGACCUGAGAGGGUGAUCGGCCACACUGGGACUGAGACACGGCCCAGACUCCUACGGGAGGCAGCAGUAGGGAAUCUUCCGCAAUGGACGCAAGUCUGACGGAGCAACGCCGCGUGAGUGAUGAAGGUUUUCGGAUCGUAAAGCUCUGUUGCCAGGGAAGAACGUCGUGGAGAGUAAC